CUUACAAUUCAAAUCCAGAACAGCCGUCCAAAUUAUGGGAUUCGAGACUGAACCUGCAAAGAAGAACAUAAAGAAUUGAAGAUUCUGAUAGAUCAAUGUUGAGGAUCGCAGGUCUCCUUAGGGUUUGUGCAGGUGGAAACAAAUACUGGAACAGAGAGAAAAGAAGAGUGCUCUCUUCGUCCCUUCUAGACAAGUGAAGAUAAUGAUCUGG
rnacentral:misc_RNA from 1 species